GAUGAACGCUAGCGGCAGGCCUAAUACAUGCAAGUCGAGGGGUAUGGGUUGCUUGCAACCCAGAGACCGGCGCACGGGUGCGUAACGCGUAUGCAAUCUACCUUAAUCAGGGGGAUAGCCCGGAGAAAUCCGGAUUAACACCGCAUAACAUUGAGUUGUGGCAUCACAGUUCAAUCAAAUAUUUAUAGGAUUAAGAUGAGCAUGCGUGACAUUAGUUAGUUGGUGAGGUAACGGCUCAUCAAGACCACGAUGUCUAGGGGAUCUGAGAGGAUGACCCCCCACACUGGUACUGAGACACGGACCAGACUCCUACGGGAGGCAGCAGUAAGGAAUAUUGGUCAAUGGGCGCAAGCCUGAACCAGCCAUGCCGCGUGCAGGAAGACGGCCCUAUGGGUUGUAAACUGCUUUUGUACCGGAAUAAACCUUCUCUUGCGAGAGAAGCUGAACGUACGGUAAGAAUAAGGAUCGGCUAACUCCGUG
rnacentral:rRNA from 1 species